rnacentral:rRNA from 1 species
AGAGUUUGAUCAUGGCUCAGGAUGAACGCUAGCGGCAGGCCUAAUACAUGCAAGUCGGACGGGAUCCAUCGGAGAGCUUGCUCGAAGAUGGUGAGAGUGGCGCACGGGUGCGUAACGCGUGAGCAACCUACCUCUAUCAGGGGGAUAGCCUCUCGAAAGAGAGAUUAACACCGCAUAACAUCAACAGUUCGCAUGUUCGGUUGAUUAAAUAUUUAUAGGAUAGAGAUGGGCUCGCGUGACAUUAGCUAGUUGGUAGGGUAACGGCCUACCAAGGCGACGAUGUCUAGGGGCUCUGAGAGGAGAAUCCCCCACACUGGUACUGAGACACGGACCAGACUCCUACGGGAGGCAGCAGUAAGGAAUAUUGGUCAAUGGGCGGAAGCCUGAACCAGCCAUGCCGCGUGCAGGACGACUGCCCUAUGGGUUGUAAACUGCUUUUGUCCAGGAAUAAACCUAAAUACGUGUAUUUAGCUGAAUGUACUGGAAGAAUAAGGAUCGGCUAACUCCGUGCCAGCAGCCGCGGUAAUUC